GACGGAGGAUGCAAGCGUUAUCCGGAAUGAUUGGGCGUAAAGCGUCUGCAGGUGGCAGUUCAAGUCUGCUGUCAAAGACCGGGGCUUAACUUCGGAAAGGCAGUGGAAACUGAACAGCUAGAGUUUGGUAGGGGCAGAGGGAAUUCCCGGUGUAGCGGUGAAAUGCGCAGAGAUCGGGAGGAACACCCGUAGCGAAGGCGGCACUCUGGGCCGGUACUGACGCUGAGGAGCGGAAGCGUGGGGAGCAAACAGG
rnacentral:rRNA from 1 species